AACGAACGCUGGCGGCAGGCUUAACACAUGCAAGUCGAGCGCCCCGCAAGGGGAGCGGCAGACGGGUGAGUAACGCGUGGGAAUCUACCCAUCUCUACGGAAUAACGCAUGGAAACGUGUGCUAAUACCGUAUACGUCCUUCGGGAGAAAGAUUUAUCGGGGAUGGAUGAGCCCGCGUUGGAUUAGCUAGUUGGUGGGGUAAAGGCCUACCAAGGCGACGAUCCAUAGCUGGUCUGAGAGGAUGAUCAGCCACACUGGGACUGAGACACGGCCCAGACUCCUACGGGAGGCAGCAGUGGGGAAUAUUGGACAAUGGGCGCAAGCCUGAUCCAGCCAUGCCGCGUGAGUGAUGAAGGCCCUAGGGUUGUAAAGAUCUUUCACCGGUGAAGACAAUGACGGUAACCGGAGAAGAAGCCCCGGCUAACUUCGUGCCAGCAGCCGCCGUAACAC
rnacentral:rRNA from 1 species